rnacentral:rRNA from 1 species
AAGACCUCAGAUCAGGCAAGAUCACCCGCUGAAUUUAAGCAUAUAAUUAAGCGGAGGAAAAGAAACUAACAAGGAUUCCCUCAGUAACGGCGAGUGAAGCGGGAAAUGCUCAAACCGAAAAUCCCCGUUUCGGGGAGUUGUGGUAUGACGAAACACGUUCGGUUGAUGUGCGCGGUGUAAGUUCUUUGGAACAUGACACGAUACAGGGUGAGAGUCCCGUCUGUCGCCGCAUGCCAUACAACAUACGAGCGGUUUUCGAUGAGUCGGGUUGCUUGGGCGUGCAGCCCUAAGUGGGUGGUAAAUUCCAUCUAAAGCUAAAUACAGACAAGAGACCGAUAGCGAAGAAGUACCGUGAGGGAAAGAUGAAAAGAACUUUGAAAAGAGAGUGAAAAAGUACUUGAAAUUGCUGCGGUGUAAGGGAUGACGGUUGGUACGUGUUGCGUUGUAUUUACUUUGUCAUCGCGUAAGCAUGGUGGAGGUUCUGCAACGUGACCAUGUGCGUGUGGGUUURUGUUCGUUCGGUUGAUGAGUGAGGUCUUUCCAGACAAACUUCAUUGAAAGAACGUAUGUGGACUGAGGCUGGYGUGUGGUUAAUAAUGUUGAGGGUGUGCCGGURUGCGGAGAACAACGUUCUGUGUAUGCCCUAUAGCCCUCCGAUAAUUAGCUACGUAUGCUGACAUGCACUAGACGACCGUGAUUCACCCGUCUUGAAACACGGACCAAGGAGUCUAAGAUGUACGCGAGUUGGUUGGUGCUAAACCGACUGGCGCAAUGAAAGUAAAACUUCGUAUCGGGCCAUCAGUUAAUGUGAGCCGGAGCGUAUAUGUUGGGACCCGAAAGAUGGUGAACUAUGCCUGAGCAAGGUGAAGCCAGGGGAAACUCUGGUGGAGGCCUGAAGCGAUACUGACGUGCAAAUCGUUCGUCUGACUUGGGUAUAGGGGCGAAAGACUAAUCGAACCAUCUAGUAGCUGGUUCCCUCCGAAGUUUCCCUCAGGAUAGCUGGAAUUGAUAUAGUUUUAUCCGGUAAAGCUAAUGAUUAGAGGCGUUUGGCGCAAAAUGCACUGAACCUAUUCUCAAACUUUAAAUGGGUAAGAAACGACGUGUUUUUUGAAUAAACCGUUGUUUGUCGAAUAAACAAUUCUUCGUGGGCCAUUUUUGGUAAGCAGAACUGGCGAUGCGGGAUGAUCCGGACGCUGAGUUAAGGUGCCAAACUGCUCGCUCAUGUGGAUCCCAGGAAAGGUGUUGCCUCAUUUAGACAGCAGGACGGUGGCCAUGGAAGUCGGAAUCCGCUAAGGAGUGUGUAACAACUCACCUGCCGAAUGAAGUAGCCCUGAAAAUGGAUGGCGCUCAAGCGUGCGACCGAAACUCGGCCGUUUCAAUGUUGUGACUUGAAACGAGUAGGAGGGCGUGGCGGUACUGGUGAAUCUUUUGGCGUAAGCCUGAGUGAAGGUGCCGCUAGUGCAGAUCUUGGUGGUAGUAGCAACUAUUCAAAUGUGAACUUUGAAGACUGAAGUGGAGUAAGGUUCCGUGUGAACAGUGAUUGGACACGGGUGAGUCGAUCCUAAUUGCAAACGUAUGGUUUUUGCUAGCAAGAAAGGGAAUCAGGUUAACAUUCCUGAACCUGUGCUACACUUUGCGUUGGCAACAAACGACGAUUUGGAGACGCUUGCGCGAGCCCUGGAGAGAGUUAUCUGUUCUUGUUAACCGUUUUGGUUGUGCCCGGAAACUAGUUGUUAGGAGAUGGGGAUGAGCAACGGGUAAAGCACGUCGCUUUUGGCGUGUCCGGUGCGCUUGCGUUAGCCCUUGAAAAUCCAAAUCGUGUGUUCGGUGUAGCAGGUCGUACUGUAAACCGCAUCAGGUCUCCAAGGUGAACAGCCUCUAGUUUGUAGAAGAAGGUAGGUAAGGGAAGUCGGCAAAAUGGGUCCGUAACUUUGGGAAAAGGACUGGCUCUAAGGGUUGCGUGAGUUGAUGCGGAUUGGUGAUGGUUGCGGCACGACAGUCUCACGACUCGAGCGCUGCGACUGUGCCGACUCGCAGACUUGCGAUUUCAACCGACUUAGAACUGGAGCGGACAAGGGGAAUCCGACUGUUUAAUUAAAACAAAGCAUUGCGAUGGUUUCAAGUAAAUGUUGACGCAAUGUGAUUUCUGCCCAGUGCUCUGAAUGUCAAGGUGAAGAAAUUCGCAGAAGCGCGGGUAAACGGCGGGAGUAACUAUGACUCUCUUAAGGUAGCCAAAUGCCUCGUCAUCUAAUUAGUGACGCGCAUGAAUGGAUUAACGAGAUUCCCACUGUCCCUAUGUACCAUCUAGCGAAACCACAGCCAAGGGAACGGGCUUGGGCGUAGCAGCGGGGAAAGAAGACCCUGUUGAGCUUGACUCUAGUCUGACAUUGUGAGAUGACUCGGGAGGUGUAGCAUAAGUGGGAGGCGUCUAGGCGUCAAUCGUGAAAUACCACUACUCCUGAUGUUGUUUGACUUACUGGUUGAAUGUCACUUUUUGAACGGAUUGCGAUUAGGACAUUGUCAGGUAGGGAGUUUGGCUGGGGCGGCACAUCUGUUAAACGAUAACACAGGUGUCCUAAGGUGAGCUCAAUGAGACCAGAAAUCUCAUGUUGAACAAAAGGGUAAAAGCUCACUUGAUUUGCAGUUUCAGUAGUAGUGCAAAGUGUGAAAGCAUGGCCUAUCGAUCCUUUAGAAAUGUUUGGUGAGAAUUUCACGCUAGAGGUGUCAGAAAAGUUACCACAGGGAUAACUGGCUUGUGGCAGCCAAGCGCUCAUAGCGACGUUGCUUUUUGAUUCUUCGAUGUCGGCUCUUCCUAUCCCGGCCUCGCAUCGGGGGCCAACGGUACGAUUGUUCACCGGCCAACAGGGAACGUGAGCUGGGUUUAGACCGUCGCGAGACAGGUUAGUUUUAUCCUACUGCUACCAACGUGUCGCUACAGUAAUGCGAUUUAGUACGAGAGGAACCGUCGUUUCACGUCACUGGCAAUUUCAGUUGCUUGAACAAGCAAUGCUGAGAAGCUGCCACGUGUUGGCUAACGGCUGAACGCCUCUAARHYVGAANCC